UGGUCCAACCUCCCACCCGUGUUUAUUUUACCUUGUUGCUUCGGCGGGCCCGCCUUAACUGGCCGCCGGGGGGCUUACGCCCCCGGGCCCGCGCCCGCCGAAGACACCCUCGAACUCUGUCUGAAGAUUGUAGUCUGAGUGAAAAUAUAAAUUAUUUAAAACUUUCAACAACGGAUCUCUUGGUUCCGGCAUCGAUGAAGAACGCAGCGAAAUGCGAUACGUAAUGUGAAUUGCAAAUUCAGUGAAUCAUCGAGUCUUUGAACGCACAUUGCGCCCCCUGGUAUUCCGGGGGGCAUGCCUGUCCGAGCGUCAUUGCUGCCCUCAAGCACGGCUUGUGUGUUGGGCCCCGUCCUCCGAUCCCGGGGGACGGGCCCGAAAGGCAGCGGCGGCACCGCGUCCGGUCCUCGAGCGUAUGGGGCUUUGUCACCCGCUCUGUAGGCCCGGCCGGCGCUUGCCGAUCAACCCAAAUUUUUAUCCAGGUUGACCUCGGAUCAGGUAGGGAUACCCGCUGAACUUAAGCAUAUCAAUAAGCGGAGGAA
rnacentral:rRNA from 1 species